rnacentral:rRNA from 1 species
UACGUAGGGUGCGAGCGUUAAUCGGAAUUACUGGGCGUAAAGCGUGCGCAGGCGGUUCUCCAAGUCCGUUGUGAAAGCCCCGGGCUCAACCUGGGAAUGGCAGUGGAAACUAGGGGACUUGAAUCUGGCAGAGGGGGGGUGGAAUUCCACGUGUAGCAGUGAAAUGCGUAGAUAAUGCGGAGGAACACCGAUGGCGGAAGGGCAAUCCCCUGGGCCUGCACUGGACCGCUCCAUGCACGAAAGCGUGGGGAG